rnacentral:lncRNA from 1 species
GGAGGCCAACAGUGAACAGGUGAACGCCCCUGCCCUCCCCCACAGCAUUGCGCAAGCGCACCGGGCAUUUGCGCAGUCGCAGAACCCUUUGCUAGGUUUGCGCCCCAAAGCACUUAGUGUGCGUCGGCUCCACACAGCCGCUUUACACUCGCCGGGCCUCAAGCUCUCGAGCUACACACCACUACACCUCACAAUGGCAGAGGAUUCGCAUCAGGAUCAGGAUUAUAUUAUUUUAACUAUUGGAGAUAGCUACGAUAACAUUGAUGAUGAGGAUGCUGUGACAAAAGAGGAUUCUGAAACAGAGAAUUCUGAGAAUCCUAAUGAUUCUGAUGAUGCACUGAUGAUACAAUCAAACUUUGGAAGCGGCAGUGCGAACUUUCAGCAACUAUUCGGCAUGACAUAUGGAGUUGAAGGUGCAGAAGUCCACCCUGAUCAACUAGUUUCACAAAUGAACCAUCCAACACACUUAAAAAGAUACAGGUCUGAGCCAACAGAACAGGAUUUUUGCUCAUCAAACAAAAAAAGACUAUCAUCUCCUCCAAGACAGUAUAAUAUGGAAAGAAAUGUGUUUGAAAAAUUCUAUGAUGAAUAUCACCGAAACCAACUUAGAGCAUUUCAACAAUGUUUUCAGGGCUUACAAGAUCUUAUGGAACAAACGAAUAGGCAGGUUGCCAAGCUGAAUGGAAUCUUUUCAGCAAUGCAACAGUUUUGGGAGAGAUCACUGAUACCACAAUGCCCUUCUGUAGCAGCAUCUACAGAAGUUCCACCACCAGGAUACCCUAGUGUGGCCAAUAGCCCUGAUAGGGUGAAUUACUCGGACAUUCUAAGAAAUGGGAGCAUGAGCCCAGAAACUACCUUGCCGUCGUCUGUCUUCAUCCUUUCCCAUUUUGAUAUGCCAGGAAUAGCAGAAGCUAGCUUGGAAAAUAACCCUGAGACAAGGGAUUACCCACCUGUAAUGGAUAAUGACAAUAGCCAGCAUCUUUUGUCUUCGUCUGCCAACUCCUCAUCUGAUUCUGAUAAAAAAUUUAUACUGAUAGAAAUGCCAGCAAAUAUGGAAAACAGCUCAGAAGACAGUCCUGAGAUAGAGAGUCACCCAUCUUCGUUGGAAAAUGACAGAGAUCAAAGUCCUUCAUCUUCAUUUUACUUCAUUUGCACCAAUUGUGGUGAGUUCAAAAUGAUUCAUAGUCCUAGCUAAUAUCACUGUUUCGUCUAGAUCCAUGAACAUCCUUAAUGCAAAUCUAGUGGUACUUUUUAACUACACUUUUAAUUUUGUGGGAAUGUAAGGUACAC